rnacentral:lncRNA from 1 species
AUGCUGAUUUCACAAGCGCGAAUGUCAUCAACCACCAAAAUUUCCAUGCUGGACAAAUGGAGAAUGGCUCCACUAUGGCUAAUCCUCAUGUUUGUGCUUCAGUUUGAAGGCAUCAGCGGAGACACCGUCAAGCUCUACCACACACCUGGACACGACGCCGUCCUGCCGUGUCACAUCCUAUCAUCGGCAACCUCGACGUGCUCCACAAUCACAUGGUUUUACAACAGUGCAGCCACAAAAGUGGUUGCGGAUGGAAUUGUUAAGAACGACUUGGUUCGAGCUGCCAGGCUGAGACUGGACAAGGGCUGCAAUCUGUUCAUCGACAGCAUCACUGCUGAGGAUGCCGGUCUCUACGUCUGUCGGAAGGGGAGGGCAACCAUGUUAGACACAAAUGUGGUUCUGAGUGUUCUGACCAUCUCCCCAUCUCCGCCAGACAGAAGUGGCGCAGAGGUGGCGUUAAAGUGCUCCCUGUUGGGACGCACUGGGCACCGUGGCUGUGGCGACAAGAGACUCCUCUGGGUGGACGAGGCAGGAACUGUGCUGAGUGGCGAUGGAGUCCGCAGCGAGGACACAGUGGGCGGCUGCGUCUCGAUUCUGACCGUGAACAGUGGCCACGGCAGGAGAUACACCUGCCGGCUUGUUGACGAGAGCAACGGCAACAACGUGCAGAUACAGGCUGACCACACGCUGGUCGUCACAGAUCCGCCGUACGUCGCCAUCGGCGCUGCGGUCGGAGUGGCGGUGUUCCUGCUCGUCGUCGCUGCUGCUGCCGGCCUCAUCAAAUGCAGGAAAAGAACCAAAGAGACAGACGGUGGAGAAAGACCAACCAAACCACAUGAUGAUCCGGAGGACAAUCUGACCUAUAUCACCGUGAGCCACGUCAACCAAGGAGCCUCUGCUGUGAAACUGGUCAAAGAGGUGGAGAAUGUCACUUAUUCUACAAUCAAGACUCCGGUGACGACAGACGCAUGGUAUGUCAGCAUACCAUAA